rnacentral:snRNA from 1 species
CAACCUGACUUGAAAGCGUCACC